ensembl:lncRNA
UUUUUUUUAAACCUUUACCUUCCGUCUUGGAAUCAAUACUGUCUAUUGUGGUAAGGGCUGAGCAAUGGGGGUUAAGGGGCUUGCCCAGGGUCACACAGCUGGGAAGUGUCUGAGGCCAGAUUGGAACCCAGGACCUCCCAUCUCUAGGCCUGGCUCUCAAUCCAUUGAGCUACCCAGCUGCCCCCACUGUAUAGGUUUUUAAAAAGAAAAAUCAUUUGACAAAACCUCUCUUGCUAAUCUUGAAGAAAAGAUGGAGUCCAAGGAUGCCAUGGACAAUAUAUUUUGGUAGAUGUAGAGCAGGUUGAUUAUCUGGACUCAGAAUAACCAUUGAAUGACUGUACCUGGGCUUGGAUAGAAGUCCCAGGGACCUGCGCUAUUUGACAGUUUUAUCAGUAUCUUGUGUCAGAGGUUGAGAACUUGGAGCUCAUCUAAGAUAUAGAUCUGAGUGCCCUCUGUUAAGAGGUCAAAAGUCGGAGUCAGAGUGAGCCCAAGUGCCCUCUCCCUCCCCUUCUUUAGGCCUCAUAGUAAUACAUGUCUAUUGCUGGCAAAGACAUGCUGUUGCUAUCUGUUCCAUGAACCUUAGAUGAUGUUUGAGUCAUAAUCUUACCCCAAAUGCCUAUCUACAUUUCUUGACAAUAUUCUCUCACCCUAAUUCCUGGAAUCCUUAUCUUGCACCAGGUGUCAUGUCUACCAUCUUGUUGCACUUUCCCAAGAACUGCCUCAGCCCUUUGCCAAGGACCCAUCUCAAUGUUGAGAUUGGCGAUAUGUUCCUGUAAUUUCUGCUAUUGGGAAGUGGAGGCUGGUGGAUCUCCUAUGCUCAAGAGUUCUGAGCUACAGAGAGGUCUCAGCUCAGGUGUCUUCUCCUACUCCAGGCCUUUCCUGACCCCUCAGGUGAUGAUGUCAUGUUGGCCAAGCUUACUUCGCAUUUAUUUUUUAUGUAUUUUCUACUGAACUUCUUUGUGUGGCUGUUGUUUUCCCCCUGUGUUAAUGAGGGUCAAGUAUGUUUGUUUCCCUUUCAUCUUUGAAUCUCAUGGGAACCCAAUACAGAACUUUGCACAUGUUGUUUGACCUUCAUUUUUCAGUGUUGUAAGGACCAAUGAUAACCCAGAAUGAUGUCUUGAUAUGUGCAUGAAUUGAAUUGAAAUGAGGCAGAGUCAGACAAAGUCAUCAGCUUCAUUCUCUUCCAGCUUCAACGAAAUCCAGUAGAAGGACAAAAGUCACGAUGACUGGUGAUGGCCCUGGAUGAAAUGGGUAACCUUGGCAUCUUUGAUGUCUGGCCAAGCUCUCAGCUCUCUCUCCACAGCACCGUUUCGGUCACCUUCAUGACCAUUGGAACAAAUUGUUCCCACAGACCCGUUCCCCUGGGGGAAGUUUUAAUAUGCUUAGGGUAGACAUCUCUCUAAUUCAUCUCCAGGUUUGAGAACCCUCACCUGCUUUAGCCUGUUGAGACAGUUUUACCAGAGUGUGGUCCCUGUGCAUGGUUUUUUUUCCUUUUUUUUUAAACCCUCACCUUCCGUCUUGGAGUCAAUACUGUAUAUUGGUUCCAAGGCAGAAGAGUGGUAAGGGCUAGGCAAUGGGGGUCAAGUGACUUGCCCAGGGUCACAUAGCUGGGAAGUGUCUGAGGCCAGAUUGGAACCCAGGGCCUCCUGUCUCUAGGCCCGGUUCUCAAUCCACUGAGCUAUCCAGCUGCCCCCUGUGCAUGUUAACAGCUUCUUGGAGCCACAGUUGAGAGCGGGUGAAAGCUGGAUACCAGAGGUGGAUGAGCAGCCCUAAAAAGGGCUCAGCAACAUAGUAUGUACUUAAUAAAGUUUAUUGAGGAAAUUCA